ACGAACGUUGGCGCGUGCUUAAUACAUGCAAGUCAACUGAAGCACCGGUAGUAAUACUGGUGUGGAGGUGGCGCACGGGUGAGUAACACGUAGGUAAUCUGCCUUCAGGUCUGACAUAACCCCGAGAAAUCGGGGCUAAUAGCAGAUGAUGCAGCGGCUUGACAUCAAGACAGUUGUUAAAGCUUCGGCGCCUGAAGAUGAGCCUGCGUCUGAUUAGCUAGUUGGCGGAGUAAUGGCCCACCAAGGCUACGAUCAGUAACUGGUCUGAGAGGAUGAUCAGUCACACUGGAACUGAGACACGGUCCAGACUCCUACGGGAGGCAGCAGUAAGGAAUAUUGCUCAAUGGGAGAAAUCCUGAAGCAGCAACGCCGCGUGAGGGAUGAAGGGCUUUUGCUCGUAAACCUCUGUAGUGAGGGAAAAAUUUCCACUCUGUGGAAUAUGAUGGUACCUCAAAAGUAAGCCCCGGCUAACUACGUG
rnacentral:rRNA from 1 species